ensembl:lncRNA OIP5-AS1 OIP5 antisense RNA 1
AGGGUUGGCCACCUUGAGAAGCUGCGAAGAUGGCGGAGUAAGGCGUGCCGCUGCAAACUGGCCUCUGGGCCGGGGGCGAGCAGCCCCCGGGAGGCCGAGUGCAUCUGUUGGACCGUGCGAGGAGAAGAAAAAAAAUAUCGGCCAGAGGAGAGGAACUAACCGAACAUUCUUCCUCCCUACCUUAUAGAGGGGAGUGGUCAUCUACACUAAAGCAAAGUGUUAGGCGCGUCCGUGCGAAGAGACCACCAAACAGGCUUUGUGUUCCUUAUCACAGGAAGAAAAUUUUCCUUGACCUUUAGGUGCUUUUAUAUUCAUCUCAAAAACAAAAUUCUGAACUCAGGACUUGGCAAACGGAGUUUCACUCUGUUGCUCAGGCCAGAGUGCAGUGGCACAAUCUCAGAUCACUGCAACCUCUGCCUCCCGGGUUCAAGCAAUUCUCCUGCCUCAGCCUCCCGAGUAGCUGGAAUUACAGACGGAGUCACGUUCUGUUGCCUGGGCUGGAGUGCACUGAUGCAAUCUUGGCUCACUGAAAUCUCUGCCUCCCAGGUUCAAGCGAUUCUCCUGCCUCGGCUUCCUGAGUAGCUGGGACUACAGGCACCCGUUACCACGCCCAGCUAAUUUUUGUAUCUUUAGUAGAGACGGGGUUUCACCAUGUUGGCCAGGCUGGUCUUGAACUCCGGACCUGGUGAUCCACCCACUUCGGCUUCCCGAAGUGCUGGGUUUACAGAUGUGUCUCUAUGUUGUCUCCUAGAGUGGGUAGUCCUGCUUCUUUUACCCAGUUACUUUCCCGUUUUUGAAAUGUGGCUAUCACUUCUCUACACAUUACCUCCAUGAUUUGGAAUGGAAAAGGCCACUUUUCUUUUUGUUCUGCCUCUCAAAUUCAACACAGAGGAGCUCCUAGGAUUCCAGUUAUCCUGCUAACAUCUCCAGGAAGAAAGAAGCAACUCACAUGGGUCUUUUGCUGUUUGCUUAAUUAUAAAGACAUCAUUUUGCAAGCAGAAGGCUGAGUUUCAUUUGAAACAGGUGCUUAGGUGGUGGUAUUUGUGAAUACUUUUCAUUCCAAGCAAGAAGACUAAAGAAGUAGCAAGUAUGAAUGACUUCAGGGUUUAAAAAAAAUGUCUUCCAGUUUCAGCCACUACCAUGAUAAGCACAGUUGAGACUGCAGCAGUAAAUUCCAAAUAUGUGUUUCUAAUUUGACGUGAAAGAUACUAAAAAUUUAUAUUUGUAUAUUUAAAUCCUGGCUCAUCCUGUGACAUAGAUUUACUGAAUAGGAACAAAGGCCCAAUUUUAAACAAAAACCUAGGCCGGGUGUGGUGGCUCACACCUGUAAUCCCAACACUUUGGGAGGCCAAGGCAGGCAAAUCACCUGAGGUUGGGAGUUUGAGACCAGCCUGACCAACAUGGAGAAACCCCAUCUCUACUAAAAAUAGAAAAUUAGCCAGGUGUGGUGGUAGAUACGUGUAAUCCCAGCUACUCGUGAGGCUGAGGCAGGAGAAUUGCUUGAAUCCGGGAGGCGGAGGUUGCAGUGAACUGAGAUUGCACCACUGCACUCCAGCCUGGGCGACAGAGUGAGACUCCGUCUCAGAAAAAUAAAAAACAACUUUGGACAUAGAGGAGUUGGGGGCAGAGGGGGGAGGAUGAGAGAAUUUUCCAUGUAACUCCUUUUCCUUAAGAAAAAGAAGCAAAAAUCCCUCAUGCAGUGCCAUCUGACUUUAUGGUGUUUCACAUUAUAUAGUUACUUUUUUUAAUAAACGCAUAAGAUUAACUCUUCCUGCAACCCAAGGUGGAUACUUGGAUGUUUGAUUUUUAUUUAUUUAUUUAUUUAUUUUUUGAGGCAGUCUCUCUCUGUUGCCCAGGCUGGAGUGAUGCGUGAUUUCUGCUCACUGCAGUCUCUCCCACCCGGGUUCAAGCGAUUCUCCUGCCUCAGCCUCCCAAGUAGCUAGGAUUACAGGCGCGCACCACCACGCUCAGCCUGAUUUCUAGGCUGAAAAGGCUGGGACUCAGGUACUUUCCCCAGUUGGGACUGAACUUUCUCAUCAGAGAAUGGGCCUCAGAAGCAAUGUUCCCAAACUUGUGGUUGGGUCAUCGUGGAAAAGAAACCUCAAAUAAGAAAAAUAAUUACAAUAAGAAAUGGAUUUUCUUUUUUCCCACAACAGUUAUACAUUAUAAAGAACAGACUGUCGUAGAAAACUGUCUUUGCUUCCAAAUCAGCAGAGGACCAUUGUAUGUAUUGUCAGGUCUUUAUAUAAGAGUGAAACCUUUAUUUAUGCUUCUUGUGAGUAGAGAAUAAAUUUUAAAACUAAUUAGAUGAAAUUAAGAACAGAGUAUUGGAACAUCUCUGUGUUUUCCGGAAUGUUUACUCAGGUCCAUGAAUGCUGUGAUGCUGGGAACUUAGGGAAGAUUCACCAAAAUUUGAGAGUGAUAAAAAUGGCCUAAAAUGGGAAAUGGUGAGCACUCUUAUUAUUAGUGAGAUUGGUCAAUCAGCCCAUUUGAAAUGGGUAAAAAAUACUUUCAGUAAAAUAAUUACAUAUUAUAUAUAAAAUAUUUCUUUUUUUGAGGGCAGCUACUGAGUGAUAAAAGCAUAGUAGAAAUCACUUUGGUUAAAAGUAACUCAAAUUUUUCUCUUAAGUAAUCUACCAACUUCCUGAUGUUUUUCUUUAAUAUUUUGGAACUGUUCAAGACAGAAUGGAGCCUACAUAUAUGGUGUUCCACUAGUAUGUUGAAAAUGUCAUAUCAUGGAGAAUGGAGACACCUUCCAGGUGUCUGUUAAACCCAUCUUCUCUGUGUACUUCUGGCAUCUUUUUUGGUAGGAUCAUUUGGCAGGGGGUAGAGUACCUGUACUUUUGGCACCAUUGAAACCAGCUCUGGCCCACUUGUUUGAAUAGCUAUCAGACUCAGCGUCUCUAUAUGCUUUAUAUACAGUUGAGAGAACCAGUGUUUAAUGCUCUUGAAAUUGUAUCUUCCAUGCUUCAGACCAGAUGCAUUUAACAAAAUGGAUAUAUUCCAGCUGUAGUUGCCCAGUGUUUACUUAACACAUCUACAUUUUUUUCUUGUCUAUUUUGGUCCCCUUGAUAGGAAAAGCUAUAAUUUUAGGCAGGACUAUACGUCGAUUUGUAGCCAUGCUUCCUUCCUUUCCCUUGCUCAUCCAUGUUAGCUGGCAGUUUUUCUUUUGAAAAGUUAAAACCGGGAUAUGUGCAAUAGAAAUAUAUAUAUAUAUAUGUAUAUUUUAAUACUUGUGGACAAAUGUUACAAGUUGUUUAAGAACAACAAAAUCACCAAUGUCUUCCAUUUUGAGAUGUGUAUAGUUUUGUAAGCAUUAGUGCUUGGUAGCAUAUUGUAGUGCCAUGUUAGGGGUUAGUGCAUGAGUCUAGUGAUUUUAAACUUCAGGAUGAAUUAUUGAUAAUAACAAAUAGUGUAAAAAGAGUGGAAAAUCUAAACCUUUUCUUUUUCCAUAAUGUCUAAAUCUGUUAUAUUCUUCCUGGGGAAAAGAGAUUAAGGCCCAAAAGACUCAUUUAUGAAUAGAAAUGUGGGGUCAAAAUCUGAGAUACUAUAUUUGAGGACAUUUCAGCUUUCCAUAAGGUAUCUGGAAACCAGCUGUCUUUGUGUCUUAUGAAACCUCAAGUCAAAAUGAGACCGCAUUUAAUUAUUCUGCUUUGCUCUUUUUUUGGGGUGGGGGGGAGAUAGAGUUUCACUCUGUCACCCAGGCUGGAGUGCAGUGGCACAAUCUUUGCUCACUGUAACCUCUGCCUCUUGGGUUCAAGUGAUUCUCGUGCCCCAGCCUCCCGAGUAGCUGGGACUACAGGCACGUGCCACCACGCCCAGCUAAUUUUUAUAUUUUUAGUAGAGACGGGGUUUUGCUGUGUUGGCCAGGCUGGUCUCAAACUCCUGACCUCAAGUAAUCCACCUGGCCUGCUCUUUUCAUGUCUUAACAUGGCAUGUCUUUUAGUUUCAUUAUUUUCCUACUCCUUGUAUGUCAAGAAAUUACAUUUUGCAUGUCUUAUGGAGAUGCUGUUAAUUGCUUCAGUGAGUGCUUUUCUAAUCUGCAGACCAUUUACAUUUCCUGUUUGCAGCAUGCUGUGUGCAAACACUCAGUAAUUUGGAGUAUUCAAUUAUUUGUUAGGGCUCUUCCUAUUUCCAAAUGUGCUGAAUUGUCUAUUGAUGGGAUUUUCAGAUCUUUUCAUGAGAACUGGAAAUGUAGCUGGGUGGCACCUACCUAGGUUGCUACGUAGUGAGUAGACUUUCUCUUGGGUAUAGUAAGCCUCAGACAGCUUUCACUUUUAUCUACUUUACUUGUGGAAAUAAAACAGUCAUUUUGUUCUGAAAGAAUAAGAUAGCUUUCUGUAGAGAAGGAAUUCCUACCUCUAAAAGCUGCCUUGAGAACUCAGAACUGGCAGUUUUCUGAGGUGAUUUUUAAAUUUCAGUAUUAGGGAGAGUCCAGCAUUUGCUGACACAGAUUCUACAUAACUAAUGUAUGAUAGCAAAUGCAAAACUAUUAUAAUGUGGUGUAUCUUGCGCAUACACAGGUUAGAACAAGUAGACUCUGGCAGCAGAUCUCCAGAGACCCAAGUUUAGGUUCUCAUAGUGUAUUUGAAGUAGUUAUACUCCUGGCUUAAGUAGUUUAGUGCCUGGGAGAAUCCAUUACUGAAA